rnacentral:rRNA from 1 species
UUAUCGGAGAGUUUGAUCCUGGCUCAGGACGAACGCUGGCGGCGUGCCUAAUACAUGCACGCCGAGCGGACAGUUGGGAGCAUACUCCCUGAUGUCAGCGACGAACGGG